UACGGAGGGUGCAAACGUUGCUCGGAAUCACUGGGCGUAAAGGGUGCGUAGGCGGGUCUUUAAGUCAGGGGUGAAAUCCUGGAGCUCAACUCCAGAACUGCCUUUGAUACUGAAGAUCUUGAGUUCGGGAGAGGUGAGUGGAACUGCGAGUGUAGAGGUGAAAUUCGUAGAUAUUCGCAAGAACACCAGUGGCGAAGGCGGCUCACUGGCCCGAUACUGACGCUGAGGCACGAAAGCGUGGGGAGCAAACAGG
rnacentral:rRNA from 1 species